rnacentral:rRNA from 1 species
ACGGCGAGUGAAGCGGCAAAAGCUCAAAUUUGAAAUCUAGCACUUUCAGUGUUCGAGUUGUAAUUUGAAGAAGGUAACUUUGGAAUUGGCUCUUGUCUAUGUUCCUUGGAACAGGACGUCACAGAGGGUGAGAAUCCCGUGCGAUGAGAUGUCCAAUUCUAUGUAAAGUGCUUUCGAAGAGUCGAGUUGUUUGGGAAUGCAGCUCUAAGUGGGUGGUAAAUUCCAUCUAAAGCUAAAUAUUGGCGAGAGACCGAUAGCGAACAAGUACAGUGAUGGAAAGAUGAAAAGAACUUUGAAAAGAGAGUGAAAAAGUACGUGAAAUUGUUGAAAGGGAAGGGCUUGAGAUCAGACUUGGUAUUUUGUGUUCCUUAUCCUUCUUGGAUUGGGUUCCUCACAGCUUACCGGGCCAGCAUCGGUUUGGAUGGCAGGAUAAUGACAUUGGAAUGUAGCUUUGCUUCGGUGAAGUGUUAUAGACUUUGUUGAUACUGCCUAUCUAGACCGAGGACUGCGU